rnacentral:rRNA from 1 species
CACGUAGGGGGCAAGCGUUGUCCGGAUUUAUUGGGCGUAAAGAGCUCGUAGGCUGUUCAGUAAGUUGGGUGUGAAACCUCCAGGCUCAACCUGGAGACGCCACCUAAUACUGCUGUGACUAGAGUCCGGUAGGGGAGCGUGGAAUUCCUGGUGUAGCGGUGAAAUGCGCAGAUAUCAGGAGGAACACCGGUGGCGAAGGCGGGUCUCUGGGCCGAUACUGACGCUGGAGGAGCGAAAGCGUGGGGAGCGAACAGGA